GGGGAAGGCAAGGUGAAGGGGCCGGGACAGCCUGCCAGGGUGGGCUCCCCUUCUCAGCCAAGGUCUAAUGGGAGCUGACAACAGCAGCUGUGGGCCUUUGAUCUGCCCUUCAGGGCCCGGCCAUGCUAAGCAGAAGGAAAAGGACUGGCAAUGUGUGUUUGGGUCCCUGCUGCAGGAACUAGAGGCUGGGAGGAAAGUUUGGGCAGGCAAAUCUGGAUGCAUCCUUGGACAUAUUCCAUUAAGAGCGGUGCCACUCAACCUAUGGCGAUUAGAUGGCAGAGCCAGUGAUGAAGACUCUGGAGCCAUACCACCUGGGUUCUAAGCCCAGCUUUAUCUACUAGCUAUGUGACCCUCAGCAAGUCACUUCACUUCUCUGUGCCUUGGUUUCUUCAGCACACGUACGGUUGGGAUUAAAUAAGUGACUACAUGUCAAAUGCUUCUGGCAAAGGGUACAUGCUCUGAGUGUUGGUGAGCAUUGUUAUUAUCAGACAAAGGCCCGAGAGGCAUGAAAUAGUGUCCCUCUUCUCCCAGGGCAUCACAUCCCCUUCGUGAACAAAGACAUUAGUUGAGGCCAGUUUGAACAGAUUAAUGGGGUUCCUUUCAUUCAGCUUCCUAAAGGCAUAAAAUGACCCCUCCUGAGCUGGGGCCCUGCUUGUAAGGAUAACUGUGUGCAAGCCAGUCUUCAGCCAAGAUGCCCUAGGCUGUCCCCCAGAUUCAGCCAGAACUG
rnacentral:lncRNA from 1 species